GUGCUUGCUUCAGAAGCACAUAUACUAAAAUUGGAAUGAUACAGCGAAGAUUAGCAUAGCCCCUGCACAAGGAUGACACACAAGUUCAUGAAGGAAAAAGUGACACAAAAUUUCU
ensembl:snRNA U6 U6 spliceosomal RNA